rnacentral:rRNA from 1 species
GACGAACGCUGGCGGCGUGCCUAAUACAUGCAAGUUGAGCGCUGAAGGUUGGUACUUGUACCAACUGGAUGAGCAGCGAACGGGUGAGUAACGCGUGGGGAAUCUGCCUUUGAGCGGGGGACAACAUUUGGAAACGAAUGCUAAUACCGCAUAAAAACUUUAAACACAAGUUUUAAGUUUGAAAGAUGCAAUUGCAUCACUCAAAGAUGAUCCCGCGUUGUAUUAGCUAGUUGGUGAGGUAAAGGCUCACCAAGGCGAUGAUACAUAGCCGACCUGAGAGGGUGAGCGGCCACAUUGGGACUGAGACACGGCCCAAACUCCUACGGGAGGCAGCAGUAGGGAAUCUUCGGCAAUGGACGAAAGUCUGACCGAGCAACGCCGCGUGAGUGAAGAAGGUUUUCGGAUCGUAAAACUCUGUUGGUAGAGAAGAACGUUGGUGAGAGUGGAAAGCUCAUCAAGUGACGGUAACUACCCAGAAGGGGACGGCUAACUACGUG